AGAGUUUGAUCCUGGCUCAGAUUGAACGCUGGCGGCAUGCUUUACACAUGCAAGUCGAACGGUAACGCGGGGGCAACCCUGGCGACGAGUGGCGAACGGGUGAGUAAUACAUCGGAACAUGUCCUGGAGUGGGGGAUAGCUCGGCGAAAGCCGGAUUAAUACCGCAUAAGCUCUGAGGAGGAAAGCGGGGGACCUUCGGGCCUCGCGCUGCAGGAGUGGCCGAUGUCGGAUUAGCUAGUUGGUGAGGUAAAGGCCCACCAAGGCGACGAUCCGUAGCUGGUCUGAGAGGAUGAUCAGCCACACUGGAACUGAGACACGGUCCAGACUCCUACGGGAGGCAGCAGUGGGGAAUUUUGGACAAUGGGGGCAACCCUGAUCCAGCCAUUCCGCGUGAGUGAAGAAGGCCUUCGGGUUGUAAAGCUCUUUUGUUCGGGACGAAACGGUUAAGGUUAAUAACCUUGACUACUGACGGUACCGGAAGAAUAAGCACCGGCUAACUACGUGCCAGCAGCCGCGGUAAU
rnacentral:rRNA from 1 species